AGCAGCCGCGGUAAUUCCAGCUCCAAUAGCGUAUAUUAAAGUUGCUGCAGUUAAAAAGCUCGUAGUUGAACUUCAGGCCUGUCCAGAUGGUCCGCCUUAAUUGGUGUGUACUGUCCUUGGGUGGGUCCUACCUUCUGGCGAAGCGGCAUGGCCUUAGUUGGUUGUGUCGGGGAAGCAGGACUUUUACUGUGAAAAAUUGAGUGUUCAAAGCAGGCAUAUAUGCUCGAAUACAUUAGCAUGGAAUAAUGGAAUAGGACGAUGGUUCUAUUUUGUUGGUUCUAGGACCGUUGUAAUGAUUAAUAGGGAUAGUUGGGGGCAUUAGUAUUCAAUUGUCAGAGGUGAAAUUCUUGGAUUUAUUGAAGACUAACUACUGCGAAAGCAUUUGCCAAGGAUGUUUUCAUUAAUCAAGAACGAAAGUUAGGGGAUCGAAGACGAUCAGAUACCGUCGUAGUCUUAACCAUAAACUAUGCCGACUAGGAAUCGGGCGAUGUUGACAAAAUGACUCGC
rnacentral:misc_RNA from 1 species